AGAGUUUGAUCAUGGCUCAGAUUGAACGCUGGCGGAAUGCUUUACACAUGCAAGUCGAGCGGCAGCGCGGGGCAACCUGGCGGCGAGCGGCGAACGGGUGAGUAAUACAUCGGAACGUACCCAGUUGGUGGGGGAUAGCCCGGCGAAGCCGGAUUAAUACCGCAUACGACCUGGAGGGUGAAGGGGGGGAUCGCAAGACCUCUCGCAGUUGGAGCGGCCGAUGGCGGAUUAGCUAGUUGGUGAGGUAAAGGCUCACCAAGGCGACGAUCCGUAGCUGGUCUGAGAGGACGACCAGCCACACUGGAACUGAGACACGGUCCAGACUCCUACGGGAGGCAGCAGUGGGGAAUUUUGGACAAUGGGGGCAACCCUGAUCCAGCCAUUCCGCGUGAGUGAAGAAGGCCUUCGGGUUGUAAAGCUCUUUCGGCAGGAACGAAACGGUGGGUCCUAAUACGAUCUGCUAAUGACGGUACCUGAAGAAGAAGCACCGGCUAACUACGUG
rnacentral:rRNA from 1 species